rnacentral:rRNA from 1 species
AACGCUGGCGGCAUGCCUAACACAUGCAAGUCGAACGGCAGCACAGAGGAGCUUGCUCCUUGGGUGGCGAGUGGCGGACGGGUGAGUAAUGCAUCGGGAUCUACCCUGACGUGGGGGAUAACCUCGGGAAACCGGGACUAAUACCGCAUACGUCCUACGGGAGAAAGCGGGGACCUUUUAGGCCUCGCGCGGCAGGACGAACCGAUGUGCGAUUAGCUAGUUGGCGGGGUAAUGGCCCACCAAGGCGACGAUCGCUAGCUGGUCUGAGAGGAUGAUCAGCCACACUGGGACUGAGACACGGCCCAGACUCCUACGGGAGGCAGCAGUGGGGAAUAUUGGACAAUGGGCGCAAGCCUGAUCCAGCAAUGCCGCGUGUGUGAAGAAGGCCUUCGGGUUGUAAAGCACUUUUAUCAGGAGCGAAAUCUGCAUGCUUAAUACGUGUGCAGUCUGACGGUACCUGAGGAAUAAGCACCGGCUAACUUCGUGCCAGCAGCCGCGGUAAU